UUCCAAAAGAACUGGUUUAACUGUCUGAAUUUACCCUGCAGAGAUCUGAGGACCAGUUAACCAUAGUCCUCAGAAAUCCACUAGAGGUUAGAACGCCGACACAAAGCCAGCCGAAAAGAGGGACAUUGGCGGAAUUUCCAGCAGCACCGGU